CCCUUAGAUGUUCUGGGCCGCACGCGCGCUACACUGAUGCAUUCAACAAGCCUAGCCUUGACCGAGAGGUCCGGGUAAUCUUUGAAACUGCAUCGUGAUGGGGCUAGAUUAUUGCAAUUAUUAAUCUUCAACGAGGAAUGCCUAGUAAGCGUGAUUCAUCAAAUCGCGUUGAUUACGUCCCUGCCCUUUGUACACACCGCCCGUCGCUCCUACCGAUUGAAUGUGUUGGUGAGGAGCUCGGAUUGGCAGCAGUUGGUGGUUCGCCACCGGCUAUUGCUGAGAAGUCCUCCAAACCGCCCCAUUUAGAGGAAGGAGAAGACGUAACA
rnacentral:rRNA from 1 species